UACCCCUACCCCUUUUCUGAGGCCCUGACAAGCUCUUAAAUUGCAACCCCAGAAGUUUCAGUCCUGUUUCUGAUGCCUGCGGUGCCUGGCUUCUUUCUCCACAGAAUACAGCUAUGCCUGUAACUGUGACAUUGACACUUUGCCUGAAUUAGACAAUGUCUAAUGUCCUGCCCUCUCGUGAUGUGACAGCAAAAUCCAGAAUGUGACAAUCCAAGCAGAGCUGAGGAAGCUAUAAGGAAAUGCCAGCAAAGAGUACACUAUGGAGAUGUGAGCUGUGAAUCCCUGAAAGCAUCAGUACUUUGAGGCACCAGGAUGGAUCAUUCGCUUCAAAAAAGAGAGUAGAAGACUUGCUUUCAUAACCUACAGCUACACCAUCUAGGUCUAAAGACGCCCAAAAUGAUGAAACUGAC